rnacentral:rRNA from 16 species
AAAGCAUCUGUCUUGAACAAGGAACGCCUGGCAAAUGCACGCCAUCAGCUUGCACUGAUCCUGCCAUUCACGCACACCGCCCAUCGUUGCUAUUGAUGGCAG